rnacentral:piRNA from 1 species
UAAACCAGAGUACAGUCAUGCCUACCUCUCC